CCUACGGGGGGCUGCAGUGGGGAAUUUUGCGCAAUGGGCGAAAGCCUGACGCAGCAACGCCGCGUGGGUGAUGAAGGUCUUCGGAUCGUAAAACCCUGUCGUUGGGGACGAAGGUGGGGGCGUUAAUAGCGUUUCUGCUUGACGGUACCCGGAGAGGAAGCCCCGGCUAACUCUGUGCCAGCAGCCGCGGUAAUACAGAGGGGGCAAGGUGUAUUCAGAGUUAGUGGGCGCAAAGGGUUAGUUCGGAGGUGUAAUCCCCGAGCUCAACUUGGGAACUGCAUCUGAGACUGGAAGGCUAGAGUACUGGAGAGGGUGGUGGAAUUCCUCGUGUAGCGGUGAAAUGCGUAGAGAUGAGGAGGAACACCAGUGGCGAAGGCGGCCACCUGGACAGUAACUGACGCUGAGGCGCGAAAGUGUGGGUAGCAAACAGGAUUAGAUACCCUUGUAGUC
rnacentral:rRNA from 1 species